CACUGUUCCUUGUCAUUGUAGAAGUGGAGGUGGUGCUUGAAAGUUUGUUUUCUGAGACUUGAAUGCAGAAGAGGAGAUAUGGAAGAGGUUAUUACAAACUAUUGAGUAGAUUUCCAUGUGCUAUAAGCUUUGCCACAAUUUGCCUGAUGUCAUCACCAGCUGAUUGGAUGGAAUCCCAGCUUUUACCUCAGAGGAAUGUUUGCAGACAUCAGCUUCCGCAAGUGUAGAAGAAGAGAGAUGGACGAUCGAGAGGGAAAAGAAAGAAGGAGAAUUGGUUCCAGUCGAGGGAAGCUGGCCUCCUGCUAGAGCCACAGGUCAUGUGCACCAUCAGCACAUUCAGCAUAGCACACAGGGCUUCCAGCAGCAGUUGUCGCCUGUGCAGACAGCCCUUCACAGUCUCAAGUGCUGAUGGAUAAUUGUCAGGCAGAUUAUAGAUAAGGAAGAAAGUAUGAGGCCAGUGGCUUUCUGUGGACCAGUCGUAGCUGGCUGGUCAGGCAACCAGAUUGCUGGAAUCACAGUGCACACACCGAUAAGCCCCUUAAUUCCAAAGGAUGCUGGCUGCUGGGCGCUGGCCACAUCAUGUACAGAGGGAAGUUGCUCCCAAAGCCCCUCUCCCAGGAAGGACAGGAGGAUAGGAAGGGAGCUCCUGGGUGUGGGGACUCGGCUGUAUCAGCCAUCACCUCCCACAGUGUAGACUUCAAUCUCUUCUCCUUUGCUGUGAUUUUACACAGACUCAUUUAUCUUCAUUUUAAUAAAAGAUUCUGUUAUCUCAUGCCCCCACCUCUUAACAUUUCUUUGCUUUGCAGUGAAACUUUUCCAAAGGAUUUCCUGGGACCGCCUGCCUCUAUUUCUUCAAUUCACAAUAUACCUGGGUUCUAUCCCCAGCCCACGCCCCUUCAUGGUUGCUGCUUUUUGACACCUAUAUCUUACCGGAGGUGCCCACAGUCUUUGACCUUACCCACCAUAUUUCCAGUUUAGAAUGCUCACUUUCUUAACAUCUGUGAUACUUGCCUCUGGGGCCUGCCCCCUCCAUCAGACCCUGCAGCCCCCUCCAUCAGACCCUGCAGCUGCAUGAAGCAAGGAAGAACAGUCUUCAUUCAAUACUCAUGGCACCUGGCAGUGUCUGAAUCAUAGUGAAACCCCCUGGAGGAAGGAACGAGUGAACACCUAGAUUCUUCCAGGUGGAAGACCUGGAUUCCAUUCUCUGAGAGGCGAUAACGUUUUGAACAGAAGCAGGGGACUGUGUCAUGCCUUAAAUUCCCCUGGACAGCAUCCAAGCUCUUAAAAUUUUAGUUGGAAAUCUUCAAAAUGCUUUGUGAAAAGCGGAUCCUGGUUCUGUGACUCUCCUGAGUAAUAGGAAGUAGAUUUCGUCAAUUCUGGAAGCGCCAUGGCUAAGAGCCACGCUUGGGAAUCAGAGGAGAAGGUUUUAACCUCAGCUCCUCCAAGUAGUUGAUGGUGACCUAGACAAAGGAGAGGAGCCCGGCUCUCACAUCUGUUAUUGGUGAAAGUAACAUCCACCUGCAAAUACUGACAUAAUACCCACCUGCUAUUAUUAAGCUCAAUGACAUGAGAUUGUGUACACCCAAUUUUUCUCUCCUGUGACAUGUGAGUCCCUAAAAGAUUAUGACGCUAUGAACAAUCAUGUAAUAAGAACCACAGAGCUCAAGGGAAAAACAGAGUUAUUGGUACAACCCUCAAACCCUUCGUCACUGACGCAUUUAGAGAAAAACAGAUAGGAACUUAAUAAAAACGGUGGCGCAGUUUUACACAUCGAAUGUGACUCAGAAAUAAAGGACUUUAAUACAUCUGGCUUUUGACCUUGAAAAAAACCUGAAUUUUGUAUAUCCUGAGGGAUGGAGAACUGGGGAACAAGAGGCGGGUUCAGGAUGCAAAGUCCUAAUGCAGCAUGUGGAUGGGAGCGUAUGGCUCAUGACACAGGUCAUGGGCUGGGUAGCUGGUAGAUGCCUAAGGUGUGUUUCAUUGCAUUUUGCAUAUUUCUGUAUAUCUCUGUUCAUGUGGAUGCAGUUUCCUUUGUUUAUAUGGCCUUUCCUGUGGACACAAUUCCACUAGCAAACCCAGAAUCUCUGUUAUGCUCGAGCUGUUCCGUGAUCUAUUGACUGUGCUGGAAGAGAUUCGUGUGGUAAAAAUAAGUCUUGCAUCAGAACUGGCAGUGAGGAAAGCACUCGAUGCCCCAGGCCUGCAGUAAACAUCCAAUAAGUGGCUGCCAUUUCCCUUUCUUUUACUUUCCCGUAAAGUCCGAUCUUCUCAAGGACAGGCACUGGGUGUUGUCUGCCUUUGUGCCCCCAGUGACUGGUACCCAUUAGCCACUCAGUCAGUACCUCUGCGGCAGGGGCUGCUGUGCUUGACAGAGGCUCAACCAAAACAGAAAAUGCAGCAACUCCGCCGACUAAUGACCUAUAAAAUGAGCGGGCCCGCAUCCGGCUGACUUAAGGCUGAACCCCAAGUACUGACCUCGCCGGGAGCUGGCCCUGCAGGUGGAGAGACGAGGAAUUCUCACAGUAGGACGUGGAGGGCGCUAGGCAUGAGAAGUGUCCAUGAAGUGGCUCCCCAGGGGACAACGAGACAUUUCAGAGACCUGACAGUGUCACAAAUCUGGUAAAGGCCAGAUCCAGGACUUGAUCUUGGGCAGAAAUGGCUCCAAGCCUUUUCUUUCCUGUCACCAUGUACCAACGCCUAUGACAAAAUCAGUCCUAUUGACAAGGUACGGCCCUAGUGUGGUAACCUUUCUCCCUGACAUUUUUACCUGUCACCUUAUUUAAUCCUCAAAACUAUCAUGUUCCACAAGAUUACUUUUUUUUUCCUAUUUAACAGGUGGAAGAAAAAGGAGCUCAGAGAAGGAAGGUGACUUGCACAAGGACACACAGGAGGAGGCGCAGGAUCACUAGCUCUGUGCGCCUCCUUUAGAGCAGGGCCAGGGGAGUACCUGCUGCCUGACCUGCAGGGUGGCAGACAGUGUACGAGGGAGUGGACACUUGACAUCCGCGCUGCUGGCUGUUGGCAGAGGGGCCCUCACGUUUAUCAGGGAAUAACAUCGCUCUGCUCUUCCACUAAUAGAAGCGUAAAUAUGGCCCUUCUCUGCUGUGAGCAAUUUCCUUGGCUCUGCUGACAUAAUGGGAAAUAUCCUCAGUGAGAAAAUUAACUAUUGGUGUCACAGGGCUAUAAGAGCAACAAAGAGCAUCGCACCCUUCAUGGCCACCCCCUCCUCCAGCAUCUCCAUCUUUCUUCAGGCUGGCGUGGAGCCCUGCACAGCGGCCCAGGAUCCCAGCUCUGAAAGGAGAGAUCUUUGAAAUGUCUGAGACUCAGUUUUGUAAGAUGAGUCAUGCAUUCACUGAUUCGACACAUUACUCUUUGAAACAGCAUGAGGUUUUACUGAGAGCUCUGGACUCUCAUUUUGGAGCUCAAGUCUGGGCUCUGCCUCGGAGUCGCUGUGAACCUGGGGAGGUUCCUUCAUCCCUCUGAGCUCUGGUUCCUCUGGACCUGUUUCUUCAUCCCUAAAAUGAAGAUCGUCAUGUCAGCAUCCUCCUGAAAAUACCUCCUUCACAGGCUUCUACUGAGGAUGCAGUGUGGCGGCACCUGAGUCUAGUGCAAACAGCUUUGGGACACUCAACAACGUGAUUGUGUAUUCAUUCCUGGGGGGACGGGUCCCAGAGCUAGUGCUCAAGGAUGAAGAAGCAGCAGUAGGGACAGCCCCAUCCUUGUGGGGUCCAUUCUUGGGCACAAGAAGCCAUGUGCCUGACUCCCCAGCCUGUAUCUCAGAGCAGAGUCACCUUUUCGAGUGUGAAGGGUGUUUUCAAAAGUCUGUUAUUUAGUAUCCAAGUAUUGAAAAGAAUACAAGACUGUUGGGUAUUAAU
rnacentral:lncRNA from 1 species